GUGGCCCGGUGUGGCGGCACCUGCUUUGCGCUGUGCCUCUUCGCUUCUGCAGCAGGGCGCACAUCUCUUCCUCCCUCCCUCCCCCUCCAUCGCCGAUCCUCCACCGAUCAGCCAAGUGCAAAAGGCCGACGAGGACUCAACAGCGGAGGUGACGCGUAAAGCGUAUCUUCGUCUACCCACGCACACAUACACACGCAGGCAGUCGACCCCUUCUCUGACGGCUUCCCCCUCUCCCUGCACAUACGUCGGUCGGGAGCCGACGAGAGCAUUGUGGUGCCGCUCGGCACACUCAGAGGCACGGUGCCCGCGCCUCUGAGAAAGAGACUCUGGAAGGUACAGACACCGGCGUUCUCUCUGUGUCCUUAUGGAGCGUUCGCUGCCACCUUCAUGAGCUGAGCGGCGCAGACAGACACGCACGCACACCCACACAUCUCCAUGAUGGAGACAUACCCACACAUCCACACCUCGCCACACCCGCGAACACGCACGCGCGCACACACAGCGGGCGAUAGGCGCACGCAGCCACAACGAUAAACUCACCGUGCUCGCGGUGCAAGUCGGGCGCGCGCGCCAGCGCAUCGCCUGGAUACACAAACCUACAGACUCACUCACAACUGCGUCAUGCACAGACACACGCCCACAUAAAGCCUCGCAGAACUCCUUUCCGUCUCCUCGCCCCAUCUCUCUCUCCCUCUCUCCACUUUUCCCUCGGCAUGUUACCGUGUGUCUACACACCUCUUCGCCAUCUCGCGCACUGCGGCCACGUAUUGAUCGGUGACAUGUGUAG
rnacentral:misc_RNA from 1 species